UGUACGAGUAUACCAAAGUUGUUGCAGUUAAAACGCUUGUAGUCAGAAUUUGGCAGCUACGGAUGUGUGCACGUCGUGUGCGCGCUUUGCGGAAAUGUCUUUUGUUGUCUUGCGUAGGAUGAGGCACUUUCAUUAGUGAACGUCCUAACACAUCCACUUUUUACUGUGAGAAAAUCAGAGCGCUCAAUGCAGACAUUUGCCGUAAUAUAUAGGCAUGGAAUAAUAGAAUAGGACUCGGAUAUAUUUUGUUGGUUUGUUGGGACUGAGUAAUGAAUAACAGGGACAGUUGGGGGAAUUUUCAUAUCGAAGCUAGAGGUAAAAUUUUUUGAUUGACGAAUGAAAAAUUGCUGGGAAAGCGUCUUCCAAGGAUGUUUUCAUUGA
rnacentral:rRNA from 1 species